rnacentral:lncRNA from 1 species
AUAAUUAGGGAUGAUAAUUAUUCCUAGUUAUUCCUAAUUAUUUAUUAGGAAUAAUUAUUCCUUCCCUGCAUGGCAACCAUAAAAAAAAAUUAACAAAUUUUCAUGAUCUUUUCCCUAAUGACCUAUGCAGAAAUAUAGAUGAGUGAUUUUUUUUUAAGUAUUAUGUUAACAAAUUGGGGGUAAAACCAGAUGAAAAUCCAAAGGCAAAUGAUUAAUUUAUCAAAAAGAAGGACAGAUGGCAUACUUAUG